rnacentral:rRNA from 1 species
AAGCGACGGCUAAAUAUGUGCCAGCAGCCGCGGUAAUACAUAUGUCGCAAGCGUUAUCCGGAUUUAUUGGGCGUAAAGCGCGUCUAGGCGGUUUACUAAGUCUGAUGUUAAAAUGCGGGGCUCAACUCCGUAUUGCGUUGGAAACUGGUAGACUAGAGUACUGGAGAGGUGGGCGGAACUACAAGUGUAGAGGUGGAAUUCGUAGAUAUUUGUAGGAAUGCCGAUGGAGAAGUCAGCUCACUGGACAGUUACUGACGCUAAAGCGCGAAAGCGUGGGGAGCAAACAGGAUUAGAUACCCUGGUAGUCCACGCCGUAAACGAUGAUUACUAAGUGUUGGGAGUCAAAUCCCAGCGCUCAAGCUAACGCGAUAAGUGAUCCGCCUGGGGAGUACGUACGCAAGUAUGAAACUCAAAGGAAUUGACGGGGGACCCGCACAAGCGGUGGAGCAUGUGGUUUAAUUCGAC